rnacentral:tRNA from 1 species
AGUUAGGUGGCUGAUAAUAGCGAUAAACUGUAAAUUUAUUUAUAAGAAUUUUUCUUUCUAUCUA